GUCCGCUUCGGCGGUACAUGUCCUAAAAUCGGAACGAUACAGAAAAGAUUAGCAUGGCUCCUACACAAGGAUAACAUGCCAAGUCGUGAAGCAUUCCAUAUUCUA
rnacentral:snRNA from 1 species